rnacentral:misc_RNA from 1 species
UCUUAACUGUGUAAUAACGAAAAUCGUCAUAAUUAGGGUUUACAUAGGAGCAUUUGCUAUAACGAUUGAGCUCUCUACUCCUUGAUAAAGCAACGACUUGGUUUCAUCUAAGGAAGUCCAGAAAUUCAAGGUGCUAGAUGCAUCCCGUCUUUAAGUUGCCAAAGCUGAUGCUUGGAUUCGCUAUCCUUCACGGGUUUGUUCAAAAUGAAGUGCAGCAUCAAAAACACCUCCUCUGGUCUAUGUCUGCUCUGUCUUGGAAGCCUUCAAUUUCUCAAUCUGCUUGCGGAGAUAAGCCUGCUUUAGUUUUUCUCGACGUGCUGCUACUUGUUCUUGCCUACGUAGCUUGAGUUCUGAUGCUUUUUCCCUUGCUUGACUUGCUUCUUUAUGAACUUCCAUAACGAAACGCUUGUGUUCACUUCGGUCAAAUGUGCCAGCUUGGCCAAGUCCUGCAGCUUUUGUGUCUGAUAGUAGGGAGGCAUCAUCAUCUCCAUCUUCAUCUCUUGGUUCUGUGUUAGAAAUGUCAUGCCGUUGAAGCUGUUCAGAGUCUUCCUGCUCCUGGCCCUUCCGAAAGAAGUCAACACAGUACUUCUCUUCCUCCUCCCCAUCAGAAAGCUCACCCCUCACCAGCUUAUCAUAUAACUUAGCCUUUCGUUCUAAGGCAGCAUAGCUUACUGAACCAUCCUUGAUUGCUUUCAUCUCAAGCUUGUCCUUGGCCUCUCUGGCAUCAACCCCAUGAUUUUUAGACGAAAAGACGUUCUUGGCAGUUAUCUUCCUCUUUGCACGAUGGAUCUCUAGAUGGGAAUAAUUCGGGUCAGCAGCAGAAGGGUGGACGGUCUCUUUGGCGACGCGUUUGGCCUCUUCUUGAGAUUUGUAUAAUUGGGCUUUAAGCUCAAGGAUGGAAGAAGCACCGACGCCUUCAAUUGGUCGGAUCUUUUUGGGCAUGAUGGUGGAUUCCGUUAACCAUCCUAACGACUCCACGACAACCCUCUUCUUCUCCCCACCUUCCGCCAUUGAUUUCUUGCUCUGCACCCACACACGCACACCUUUUUGGGUUUGAUUGAUUGAUUGAUUGCUAUUGGUUUUUGAUGGUUCGAGUUGUUCCUUUGCUUCUUCUCACUGUCGUUUGGGUUUAGGGUUAGAAUUGAGGAUUUGG